CGCGGGGUGGAGCAGCUCGGUAGCUCGCUGGGCUCAUAACCCAGAGGUCCAUGGUUCAAAUCCAUGCCCCGCUACUA
rnacentral:tRNA from 62 species